GACGAACGCUGGCGGCGUGCUUAACACAUGCAAGUUGAACGGGCAUACAUGGAAGCUUGCUGAAGUGUAUGUUAGUAGCGGACGGGUGAGUAAUGCAUGAGGACCUGCCUUUGGGAGGGGGACAACAGUUGGAAACGGCUGCUAAUACCCCGUAUGCCGAGAGGUGAAAGGUAUGGAGACAUACCGCCUGGAGAGGGACUCAUGUCCUAUCAGCUGGUUGGUGAGGUAACGGCUCACCAAGGCGACGACGGGUAGCCGGCCUGAGAGGGCGACCGGCCACACUGGAACUGAGAGACGGUCCAGACUCCUACGGGAGGCAGCAGUGGGGAAUAUUGGGCAAUGGGGGCAACCCUGACCCAGCGACGCCGCGUGAGGGAAGAAGGCCUUCGGGUCGUAAACCGCUUUUGUACGUGAAGAAGCAGAUGACGGUAGCGUACGAAUAAGUCCCGGCUAACUACGUG
rnacentral:rRNA from 1 species